UCUUUUAGGCACGUACAUGAAAGAAUUGUUAAACUGGGAGGAUUCGUCAACUGCAAUAAAAGGCUAAGUGAUUUAUCUGACUGCUGUUGCUAUGUUGCUCAGGCUGGCCUCUAGCUCCUAGGCUCAAGGGACUCUCCCCAUCAUCCUGCCUCAGCCUCCCAAGUAGCUGGAACUGUAGGUCACCUCUGAGAUAGCAAGACUAACCCAUCCUCUUCCUCCUCCUCAGCCUACUUGAUGUGAAGAUGAUGAAGAUAAAGACAUUUAUGAUGAUCCACUUCCACUUAAUGAAUAGGGCUCCCUCUGUUACCCAGGCUGGAGCACAGUGGUGUGAUUAUUGCUCACUGCAGCAUCAAACUCCUAGGCUCAAGCAGUCCUCCUGCCUCAGCCUCCCAAGUAACUAGGACUAUAGAAUUUCAGAAGAAUGAUGAAGAUUAUCACCUAAUGUCUGAAGCCCAUGGUUUGCAAAAAUGACUGGAGAGCAUGAUAGUGUGACAGGCUGUAUAAAUCAAUCUUGGGGGAAGAAACAACUCAAC